AUUGAACGCUGGCGGCAGGCCUAACACAUGCAAGUCGAGCGGAUGAAGGGAGCUUGCUCCUGGAUUCAGCGGCGGACGGGUGAGUAAUGCCUAGGAAUCUGCCUGGUAGUGGGGGAUAACGUCCGGAAACGGGCGCUAAUACCGCAUACGUCCUGAGGGAGAAAGUGGAGGAUCUUCGGACCUCACGCUAUCAGAUGAGCCUAGGUCGGAUUAGCUAGUUGGUGGGGUAAAGGCCUACCAAGGCGACGAUCCGUAACUGAUCUGAGAGGAUGAUCAGUCACACUGGAACUGAGACACGGUCCAGACUCCUACGGGAGGCAGCAGUGGGGAAUAUUGGACAAUGGGCGAAAGCCUGAUCCAGCCAUGCCGCGUGUGUGAAGAAGGUCUUCGGAUUGUAAAGCACUUUAAGUUGGGAGGAAGGGCAGUAAGUUAAUACCUUGCUGUUUUGACGUUACCAACAGAAUAAGCACCGGCUAACUUCGUG
rnacentral:rRNA from 1 species